rnacentral:rRNA from 1 species
UACGGAGGAUCCAAGCGUUAUCCGGAUUUAUUGGGUUUAAAGGGUGCGUAGGCGGCUUAUUAAGUCAGUGGUGAAAGCCCGGGGCUCAACCCCGGAACCGCCAUUGAUACUGGGAGGCUUGAGUACAGACGAGGUAGGCGGAAUUGAGGGUGUAGCGGUGAAAUGCUUAGAUACCCUCAAGAACACCGAUUGCGUAGGCAGCUUACUAGGCUGUAACUGACGCUGAGGCACGAAAGCGUGGGGAGCGAACAGG